rnacentral:lncRNA from 10 species
CUCCUGAGAGCCUUCAAAGUUGGAAAAAAUAUCAGGAUUUUCUUUCUGGUCACUGGAAAAAUAUAUCCGAUAAUUUUAAAUACCUGGCACUUCAGAAUCAGCACUUCUUUACUAUAUUUGCCAUAUGUGGUGUCCUACUGUGAUUUCACAGCACUGUAAGAUACUUACAGGCAGAGACUAGAUCUAUGUAAUUUUUUAGCCACCCCAGAAGAUAACACAUGCAAAUAUGAGUACUUUAAAUAGAGGCCUAAUGGGAAGGCAGCUGGCAAGUGACCAGAAUGAGGGAGCAUAAGUAGCUUUUGCAUCUGCCCAGCCAAGUUCCCUGUUCCCCAGUACAAAGAAAUCUAUCAAGUCUCCCCCAACCCCACCUUAUUCACAGGCUCCUGUCACCCUCCUGUACCUGCUGAACAAUCUCUCCAUCUUCCACAUUAAACUUGACAAUGUUCACAUGGCUGAAGGGAACAACUCCGAGGGCCCACACCACCCCAGAGCCGUAAGAAUACACCAUCUGGUAGUGGAUGCUGUCACUAAGAGAGGGAAGAAGAAACCGCAGCGUCAGCUUUCAACCCAGGACAGGAUUAUCCUCAGGGGCUGCCAGGCCUCAGCCAGAUGUCACAAACUAGUAAUUCCCAAAUAGGUUUUGUUUGGCUCACACAGUUUGGGGGCUUUUGUUGUUGUUGUUCUUAAUUUGAAUUAGUUGUCAACAUUUAGAAGAUAUUAUACUUCACAAUCAGAUUUCUAAAUUUUCCUACGGUUAGAAGAUGUGGCAACACUAGGCCUAAAUACAGAGCACCAAUCAGGUGGGUAAGGCUGCCCCCUCCAGGCAGGCCAGGAGCACUGCAGCUCCCAUCCAGCCAGUGUUGCUCAUGGAUAUUUCAUAACCCGCCUCAUAGCAUUUUCUUUGUUGUGUUUUUUUUUAGACAGCGUCUCACUCUGUCACCCAGGCUGCAGUGCAGUGGUGCGAUCACGGCUCACUGCAGCCUCUACCUCCCGAGGCUCAGGUGAUCCUCCCACCUCAGCCUCCCAAGUAGCUGGGAUCACAAGCACGCACCACCAUGCCUGGCUAAUUUUUUGUACUUUUUGUAGAGAUGGGGUUGCCCAGGCUGGUCUUGAACUCCUGAGCUCAAGUGAUCUACCCACCUCAGGCUCCCAAAGUGCAGGGAUUACAGGCGUGAGACACCAUGCCAGGCCAGAAUUUGAAGUUUUGAGUCCUGCUCUAAACUUUGAAAAUGGCCACAGGGUGUCUAAGUAGAUCCUUUUAUCUUGUUCCUUCUCUCUUGUUCCUUCCCAAUUUCGAUGCUUUCUACCAGCAGGACCUCGAGAAACCAUUUCACACCUCACUCAGCCUACCCUGGGUCUUCUUGAGUUGUUCUAACUCUUAAUAUGAACGAAAGGCUCAGUCAGAACUAGAACUAGAACUAGAACUUGAACUAGAAGUCAGAAGGCACAAAGUACCAUAACCAUGAGCGAGUGAGUGGCUCCCGUAGCAUGGCUCGCCCUAGCACCCCAGUUUGAGAGUGUUCUCCUCAGUGCAAAGGAAACUCCAGGCAUACUCCGGAGUUUCACCCAUACUCACAGCCUUCAAGAUAUUCUGAGUGCAACACACUCCAUGGAACACCAACAAGAGACAGGCCUGGGUUAAAGCAAAUGCUUCGGGUCCCUCGAGGAGAAAGAGGAGCUCCUAGAGAGUAGAACGAGGCAGCUAUUGCCUGUGAGCAGGCAGCCUUACCUUUCUGGGAGAUGUUCCACCCACUUGAGGUGCCCACUGGAGAGGUGAUGGAGGGCAAGUGUAGUCUUCUUCAGGACUGCGAUGUACCUUACAGACUCCUGCAGGCCAACCAGCCCAAGUGCCUGGAAACUGAACACAAGUACAGGUUGAGAGCAGCCCACACCUGCAGAGCCUCAGGCUGGGAGAGACAGUCCAGAACAGUACCCACUGUUGCUUAGUGGGUAAGAAAACAGGCUUUGGGGUCAAACACAGCUGGAUCCUAACCCUGGCUCUGCCUCUUGUUAGUCAACUUGAGAUUCUGCACUUGCAACCAUUUGGCCACACUACUUGCUUCCCUGAAACCAUCUGUAUCUCCUAAGGGCUGUUCCCUCCUUCCCCUGGGACUUCACAGCAACUGGACCUACCCUCUGCCACAUAUCCAUGAGACAGUGCUGUCAUUACUGUGCUACCUGCCUGCCUCCCAAUGGACAGCGGAAUCCUCAAUGACAGCAACUGUCUCACAGUCCCAUGUGUUCUCAUCGCCUGGGGCUCAGCACGUGUUUACCAAAUGAAUUACUAUCAGAAAAUGUAUAAGCUAAUACAAAUGACCCUAUCAUUUGAACAACUUUAGGGGCCAGGCCCGGUGGCUCAUGCCUGUAAUCCCAACACUUUGAGAGGCUGAGGUGGGAGGAUCACGGGGUCAGGAGUUCGAGACC